rnacentral:rRNA from 1 species
AUAAAAUUUAAUUUUGGUUAAAAAAUUAGUUUUUAAAAUAUAUUUUAUAUAUAAGUUUUAUUGUAUUUGAAAUAAAAAUAGGUUAAAAUUUAAAUAAUUUUUUAUUUUUAUUUAAUUUAAAAUAUAAUAAAUUUAUUUUUAAUGAAAAUUAAAAAUAGUGAUUUUAUUAAAUUUUAAUAAAAUUUGUGCCAGCAAUUGCGGUUAAACAAUUGAAGUAAACUAAUUUUAUUAAUAUUAAUUUUAAUAAUUUUAUAAAAAAAAUUAUUUUUUGUUUUUAUAUUUAAAAAUUUAUGGUGAAAUUUUAAUUUUUAAUUUAAAAAUUUUAUUUUUUUUAAGUUUAUUUUUUAAGUAUUUUUAUAAAAAAUAGGAUUAGAUACCCUAGUAUUUAUUAUUAUAAAUUUAAUCUAAUGAUUAUUAAAUGUAAAAAUUUAUCAUUAAAAUUAAAAUUUUUGGCGGUAUUUUAAAUUUUUAGAGGAACUUGAUGAUUAAUUUGAUAAUCCACGAUAAGAUACACUUAUUUUAAAAAUUUUAUUUUAUGUAUUGUUGUUUAAAGAGUUUUUUUAAAGUUUUAAAUUUAAUAAUUAAUAAUUUUUUAUUUAAAAAAAAUUAUAAAUUUUAAUUCAAAUCAAAAUAUAAAUUUAUAAAUAAGAUUUAAUUGAGUUACAAUUAUUUUAAAUAUUGGAUUAAUAAAUUUAAUUUUAUUAUAAAAUUGGAUUUAAAAGUAAAUUUUUUAUAAAAAAUUAUUUAAAUUGAAUUUUUUAAUAUAAUAUGUACAAAUUGCCCGUCAAUUUCAUUAUUUUAAUUUUUAUAUUAAAAAUAUGAAUUAAGUCGUAACAAAGUAAAAGUACUGGA